rnacentral:rRNA from 1 species
AUUGAACGCUGGCGGCAGGCCUAACACAUGCAAGUCGAAUGGUAACAGGAAACAGCUUGCUGUUUCGCUGACGAGUGGCGGACGGGUGAGUAAUGUCUGGGAAACUGCCUGAUGGAGGGGGAUAACUACUGGAAACGGUAGCUAAUACCGCAUAACGUCGCAAGACCAAAGAGGGGGACCUUCGGGCCUCUUGCCAUCAGAUGUGCCCAGAUGGGAUUAGCUAGUAGGUGGGGUAACGGCACACCUAGGCGACGAUCCCUAGCUGGUCUGAGAGGAUGACCAGCCACACUGGAACUGAGACACGGUCCAGACUCCUACGGGAGGCAGCAGUGGGGAAUAUUGCACAAUGGGCGCAAGCCUGAUGCAGCCAUGCCGCGUGUAUGAAGAAGGCCUUCGGGUUGUAAAGUACUUUCAGCGGGGAGGAAGGGAGUAAAGUUAAUACCUUUGCUCAUUGACGUUACCCGCAGAAGAAGCACCGGCUAACUCCGUG